CCUACGGGUGGCAGCAGUGGGGAAUAUUGCACAAUGGGGGAAACCCUGAUGCAGCAACGCCGCGUGAGUGAAGAAGGCUUUCGGUAUGUAAAGCUCUAUCAGUAGGGAAGUAGAUGCCGGUACCCGAUUAAGUAUCCCCGGAUAACUCCGUGCCAGCAGCCGCGGUCAUACGUAGGGGGCAAGCGUUAUCCGGAUUUACUGGGUGUAAAGGGAGCGUAGACGGGAUAGCAAGUCUGAAGUGAAAGCCCAAGGCUCAACCAUGGGACUGCUUUGGAGACUGUUAAGUUAGAGGGCUGUGGAGGUAGGCGGAAUUCCUGGUGUAGCGGUGAAAUGCGUAGAUAUUAGGAAGAACACCAGUGGCGAAGGCGGCUUACUGGGCUGUAACUGACGUUGAGGCUCGAAAGCGUGGGGAGCAAACAGGAUUAGAUACCCUUGUAGUC
rnacentral:rRNA from 1 species